UUCGUUUCAUAUACUUUAUUGAAACAUAGUCUGAUGCAGGAAAAGGAUUCGUAUAGCCAAAACCAAUUAAUUAGAAUUAAGUCUAAUUUGAUUUGCUUAGUAGUUUACCUCAUGUAAACGUGGAAAUUAAUUUCUUUUACAUCAGCGUUGACCUGCUUUCUUUGUGAAAACUGAACUUUUCUGCUGGUUUUUAUGUUUUUCAUGGAGUUAAUUGCAGGCAAAUGGUUCAGCAAGAAUCAGUUUGGGGAAAACAGAUGUUAUUUCCAGUGUGAAGGCUGAACUUGGAAGGCUGAGUUUGUUGCAACCUGACAAAGGAAAGGUCGCCAUACUUGUUGAUUGCAGUCCAACUGCAGCACCAAUGUUUGAGAUUGUAUUAUUUUUAUUUUGUUUGGCUGAGCUUAUUUUGUUUUAAACAAUAAGGUGUAUAAAAGUACAGUUGUUCCUAGAAAAAGUGAGUUUAAAAAAAAGAUGUAGUGGUGAAAAUAAGCUGGCAUUUUAGGCUAAAAAAACUGACCCCUUUUUUAAUAUAAAAAAGAAAAAAAAACAUUUCAUUAUGUGAAAUAGCUGUUGGAAUUCAAUCAUGGCACAAUGGGGAAGAGUUAGUCUUAUUGCCAAUUUUCUUCAUAGUUCAUAUAUUUUAUAUAUAUUUCUAAUUUGGAUUUAUACCUUACUUAGGGUAGAGGAGGGUGAGGAGUUGUCCACAGAACUCUCCAUUGCUCUUCUGUGUUGUCUCUUGGGUGCUAAAAGUGGAGCUGGUAUGAAUUUAAUGGGAGCUAGAGAAGUUACCACCAAUUUAUUGCCCAAUAUAUGUUUUCUAUCUUUUGGCAGUUCGUCCUCUGAUUUGUUUUUUGAUUAUAGAUUCUUGCUUUGCUUGAAUUGAAUAUCUUAUUUAAUUUUUCCCAGGAGCUGGAAUUGAUCUCUCGUCUUUAAUAGUUGUAUUGGAAAAAUUUGCUGGGAUCUUUAUAUUGAUUGUCUUUAUAAACAAAUUUUUGCUAACGUUAUUAGGGACUGCUAUGCCCCGCUCAAAUUUUUACCUUCAUUUUUUUUUUUUUUUUUUUUUGGGUGCAUGGAGACUGCUAUGCCCUGCUCAAAUUCCUCAUGAUCAUUUAGUUUUUGAGCUUAAACUCUAAGCUCAAAAAAAAAAAAAAACCAUAAUUAGAAUAAUUUUAGUUUCCAUUCCUUUUGGCUAAUGGAAUUAUUUUUGUUACUUGGGCUGGGUUGGACCAUAUCAAUAAUGGCCUAAGUAAUAUUCUCAGCCUUUUUAAUCGUCUCUUGUGUCUCAUUUCUAGGCUAAGCUAAUUGAAAUUGCAGUUCUCAUUUUCAGAAAUUGCAUCGGCAAUGCCAUACGACACAAGCUAAUGGGAGAUGAAGUAUUAUUUCUAAAUUCUAAUUUAAAAAGUGACCAUUUUAUGCAUCUUUUGUGUAUUUUUUUAACCCCCUAUCUUCUUCUUUCUCAAAAACUCUUAAGAGGACCUGCUGUAACUUGCAAGUCAACACAAGUUUUCACUUAAAAUAUUUUCUGUGAUAAUUCUGAAUUAUUUAUCCAAAAAACUGGUGUAUAAUUUGUAUUUGCAGUAAUCAGACGAAGAUAAGCAGAUGUCUUUGUAGAAAUGCACAUUCUUUCAGCAGAUGAUGUCACUUGGGGUGCAUUGAUAAGUCCAACGCUUUCAUCUAGAGCACAAUAUGAGUUACACAGUGUAGAGGUAUAGCCAGGCAUGAUAAACCCAGAAAUUCAUGGGAGAAGGGAUCAAGAUGUCUAAGGCUAAAGCUUUUAAAGACGCCAUAAGCCUGGAAAUCCCAUGGAAGGAGGGAUGAAAUGUAUGAAACUAUGGCCUACAAGUGUGGUAUAAUUGGAAAAUCUGGCAGAGAAGGGAUCAAAAACAUUUUAUUUGCCUUAGGCCUACAGCCACGUUAAGAACUACUUAGCCACUGUCAGAAAUUCAAGUGUUUGAUAGAGAGAAGUCCUUGUAUUCAUCUAACUAAUGUAAGGCCAUUAUUUGUGGGAAAUGAAAUGAUUCCUGUAAGCCUCAAACUUAGGUGGAAGAUUUAUCUCCUAAUCAGCCAAGGCCAAAAAUUUGUCACGCCUACGUUGGAGAUUCUUUUGUAUUAAUCACUCCAUGGAUAAUGGAUUCAUGCUCUGUAGAUAAUUUUAUUUUUGAAUCGACUCUCUCUCUCUCUCUCUUCAAUGUAACA